rnacentral:rRNA from 1 species
AACGAACGCUGGCGGCAUGCCUAACACAUGCAAGUCGAACGAGACCUUCGGGUCUAGUGGCGCACGGGUGCGUAACGCGUGGGAACCUGCCCUUAGGUUCGGAAUACCUCCCCGAAAGGGGUGCUAAUACCGGAUAAUGUCUUCGGACCAAAGAUCUAUCGCCUUUGGAUGGGCCCGCGUUGGAUUAGCCAGUUGGUAGGGUAAAAGCCUACCAAGGCGACGAUCCAUAGCUGGUCUGAGAGGAUGAUCAGCCACACUGGGACUGAGACACGGCCCAGACUCCUACGGGAGGCAGCAGAGGGGAAUAUUGGACGAUGGGCGAAGGCCUGAUCCAGCAAUGCCGCGUAAGUGAUGAAGGCGUUAGGGUUGUAAAGCUCUUUUACCCGGGAUGAUAAUGACAGUACCGGGAGAAUAAGCACCGGCUAACUCCGUG